rnacentral:rRNA from 1 species
AUGCCUAGCCCUCACCUUCGUUUCUCUUCACCCCAGCAAGGAGAACGCACAUUGUUCUUGAUUAGUUCAGUGAAGUCAGCCAUGGCUUCCGGGAUCGCCAGCAUGUCGUCGUCUCUUGCGGUGCUCCUCCUCGGCGUGCUGCUGCUCUCCCGCGGCGGCGUCGGCAACGCGGCGCGGCACCUGGCGGAGGCCGAGUACCCACCGGUGCCGCCUAAUGUCCCGGCGCCUCUGCCCAAGCCAGACGUGCCGCCGCCGUUGCCCGCACCGGAGGUGCUGCCGAAGCCGGGGCUGCCACCGCUGCCCACACCUGAGGAGCAGCCCAAGCCAGACCUGCCGCCGUUGCCCACACCGGACGUGUUGCCAACGCCGCCGUUGCCCGCACCAGACGUGCUGCCGAAGCCGCAGCUGCCCACGCCUGACGAGCAGCCCAAGCUGACGUGGAACCGAAGCCAGAGCUGCCACCCGUGCCCAAGGGUGACCUUCCACCGAAGCCGGAGCUGCCGCCGCCGUUGCCAACAGGUGAGAUCCCACCAAAGCCGGUUUCGCCGCCUCUUCCUACAGGCGAGCUUCCGCCCAAGCCGGAGCCCGAGCUGCUGCCCAAGACAGACGAGCCACCGAAGCCAGAGCUGCCGCCACUUCCGACCGGUGAGCUUCCACCGAAGCCGGACGUCGAGCUGCCACCCAAGGCAGAGGAGCCCCCGAAGCCGGAGCUGCCGCCAUUUCCGACCGGUGACCUUCCACCAAAGCCGGACGUCGAGCUGCCACCGAAGCCAGACCUGCCGCCGCUCCCUACCGGUGAGCUUCCAUCGACGGCGCAGCCGCCGCUGCCGAAUCCCGCGGAACCAAAACCAUGAUCACUCAACCACCGACGAAUCCAUGCAUGGUCCUCGAUAUGUUUGA